rnacentral:lncRNA from 1 species
UAGGGCCCCACCCACAUGGCCUCCUGUAACCUUAAUUACCUCUUGAAAGACUGUCUCCAAAUAUAGUCACGUUUGGGGGUUCAGACUUCUGAAUACGAAUUUGGGAGAGGACACAAUCCUGUACAUAACACCACCCAAGGUAAAAAAAAAAAGAAAAAAAAAAUUUCUAAGCACUUGCAUUUGUUUUUCUUAACGUGGCUGGGAUCAGCCUCCACCCCACUCACUCCAGCCGCCUUCUCAAUCAUACACCUGAUAGAAGACUAAGAUCAUCGGGCGGGGAGGCCCAGUGGGUUACGCGUCUGCCUUCAGCUCAGGUCAUGAUCCAUGGGUCCUGGGACUGAGUCCCAAGUCCUGCAUCGGGCCCCCUGCUCAGCGCGGAACCCCUUCCUCUGCCUCUGCCCUCCCCCUCCCCCCUGCUUGUGCUCUCGCUCGCUCUCAAAUAAACUUAAAAAAAAAAAAAGACUAAGAUGAUCAUAAAUACCUUCUGAAAGGCUUUCUUAGUACCGUAGAGACCUUCUCGACUUUUAUAACUUCUAAUAAUAAUUAUUUUGACUACUGAGAUAAAGUUCUUGCUUACUGCCAGACUCUGGGCUCUGUUCUGCAGAGUCGUGGACCACAACAGCUCAUUGCUCAAUCGGGGCAGUCACGUGAAUUUACUUUGGCUCUUUCUCACUUCCUAAAACCCCAACUCCUGGGUGGGUGACAGUGUGCGUGGUAAGUAUAAAUCACUCAUCAACUUCAACAAACAUUUGUUGAGUACGCCGUAUGUCGAAUUCUCUAAAAGACAGUAGGAAUGCGAAAAUCCGUAAACUACAUUUUCAACUCUUGGAUUCAGCUUCAGGAAAGGCGUUGUGACUCGAUCGUCCCGCCCGCCCCUCACCAGCCUGGACAACGUUGCAUUACCUCUGUGGUCCCACCCUUUACCUUUUGUCCUCUUUCCGUAAAAAAGGCUUUGUAGACCCUCUUGACUGCCUUAAAAUGAAAUUCAUAGAUAAUAUAAUCUACCUAAAGACCUGGUUUUAAAUAAAAUGUGUAACAUGUCUUUUCUUUUUUCUUUU